UACGUAGGUUGCAAGCGUUGUCCGGAUUUACUGGGUGUAAAGGGCGUGUAGGCGGAGAUGCAAGUUGGGAGUGAAAUCCCGGGGCUCAACCCCGGAACUGCUUUCAAAACUGUAUCCCUUGAGUGUCGGAGAGGCAAGCGGAAUUCCUAGUGUAGCGGUGAAAUGCGUAGAUAUUAGGAGGAACACCAGUGGCGAAGGCGGCUUGCUGGACGAUAACUGACGCUGAGGCGCGAAAGCGUGGGGAGCAAACAGG
rnacentral:misc_RNA from 1 species